rnacentral:rRNA from 1 species
CCAAUAGCGUAUAUUAAAGUUGCUGCAGUUAAAAAGCUCGUAGUUGAAUUUCGGAACCAAUAUGUUGGUCGUGCCUCGGUACGUACUGGCAUUGUUGGUUUCUCCCUUCUGACGAACCAUGAUGUCAUUUAUUUGGUGUUGUGGGAAAUCAGGACUGUUACUUUGAAAAAAUUAGAGUGUUUAAAGCAGGCUCACGCUUGAAUACAUUAGCAUGGAAUAAUGAAAUAGGAUGUUUGAUUCUAUUUUGUUGGUUUCUAGGAUCGACGUAAUGAUUAAUAGGGAUAGUUGGGUGCAUUAGUAUUCAAUUGUCAGAGGUGAAAUUCUUGGAUUUAUUGAAGACUAACUACUGCGAAAGCAUUUGCCAAGGAUGUUUUCAUUAAUCAAGAACGAAAGUUAGGGGAUCGAAGACGAUCAGAUACCGUCGUAGUCUUAACCAUAAACUAUGCCGACUAGGGAUCGGAUGAUGUUAAUUUUUUAAUGACUCAUUCGGCGCCUUACG